rnacentral:rRNA from 1 species
CCUACGGGAGACAGCAGUGAGGAAUAUUGGUCAAUGGGCGGGAGCCUGAACCAGCCAAGUCGCGUGAGGGAAGACGGUCCUAUGGAUUGUAAACCUCUUUAGGCGGGGAGCAAUGCCGGGCACGCGUGCCCGGAGGGAGAGUACCCGCAGAAUAAGCAUCGGCUAACUCCGUGCCAGCAGCCGCGGUAAUACGGAGGAUGCGAGCGUUAUCCGGAUUUACUGGGCGUAAAGGGCGCGUAGGUGGGCGCGUAAGUCAGGUGUGAAAACUCCGGGCUCAACCUGGAGACUGCACUUGAAACUGGGGGUCUUGAGGGCAGGAGAGGAAAGUGGAAUUCCUAGUGUAGCGGUGAAAUGCGUAGAUAUUAGGAGGAACACCAGUGGCGAAGGCGACUUUCUGGACUGUACCUGACGCUGAGGCGCGAAAGCGUGGGUAGCGAACGGGAUUAGAUACCCUGGUAGUC